GGGUUGUGAGGUUAAGCGACUAAGCGUACACGGUGGAUGCCCUGGCAGUCAGAGGCGAUGAAGGACGUGCUAAUCUGCGAUAAGCGUCGGUAAGGUGAUAUGAACCGUUAUAACCGGCGAUUUCCGAAUGGGGAAACCCAGUGUGAUUCGUCACACUAUCAUUAACUGAAUCCAUAGGUUAAUGAGGCGAACCGGGGGAACUGAAACAUCUAAGUACCCCGAGGAAAAGAAAUCAACCGAGAUUCCCCCAGUAGCGGCGAGCGAACGGGGAGCAGCCCAGAGCCUGAAUCAGUGUGUGUGUUAGUGGAAGCGUCUGGAAAGGCGUGCGAUACAGGGUGACAGCCCCGUACACAAAAAUGCACAUACUGUGAGCUCGAUGAGUAGGGCGGGACACGUGGUAUCCUGUCUGAAUAUGGGGGGACCAUCCUCCAAGGCUAAAUACUCCUGACUGACCGAUAGUGAACCAGUACCGUGAGGGAAAGGCGAAAAGAACCCCGGCGAGGGGAGUGAAAAAGAACCUGAAACCGUGUACGUACAAGCAGUGGGAGCACAGAGCAAUCUGUGUGACUGCGUACCUUUUGUAUAAUGGGUCAGCGACUUAUAUUCUGUAGCAAGGUUAACCGAAUAGGGGAGCCGAAGGGAAACCGAGUCUUAACUGGGCGUUAAGUUGCAGGGUAUAGACCCGAAACCCGGUGAUCUAGCCAUGGGCAGGUUGAAGGUUGGGUAACACUAACUGGAGGACCGAACCGACUAAUGUUGAAAAAUUAGCGGAUGACUUGUGGCUGGGGGUGAAAGGCCAAUCAAACCGGGAGAUAGCUGGUUCUCCCCGAAAGCUAUUUAGGUAGCGCCUCGUGAAUUCAUCUCCGGGGGUAGAGCACUGUUUCGGCAAGGGGGUCAUCCCGACUUACCAACCCGAUGCAAACUGCGAAUACCGGAGAAUGUUAUCACGGGAGACACACGGCGGGUGCUAACGUCCGUCGUGAAGAGGGAAACAACCCAGACCGCCAGCUAAGGUCCCAAAGUCAUGGUUAAGUGGGAAACGAUGUGGGAAGGCCCAGACAGCCAGGAUGUUGGCUUAGAAGCAGCCAUCAUUUAAAGAAAGCGUAAUAGCUCACUGGUCGAGUCGGCCUGCGCGGAAGAUGUAACGGGGCUAAACCAUGCACCGAAGCUGCGGCAGCGACGCUUAUGCGUUGUUGGGUAGGGGAGCGUUCUGUAAGCCUGCGAAGGUGUGCUGUGAGGCAUGCUGGAGGUAUCAGAAGUGCGAAUGCUGACAUAAGUAACGAUAAAGCGGGUGAAAAGCCCGCUCGCCGGAAGACCAAGGGUUCCUGUCCAACGUUAAUCGGGGCAGGGUGAGUCGACCCCUAAGGCGAGGCCGAAAGGCGUAGUCGAUGGGAAACAGGUUAAUAUUCCUGUACUUGGUGUUACUGCGAAGGGGGGACGGAGAAGGCUAUGUUGGCCGGGCGACGGUUGUCCCGGUUUAAGCGUGUAGGCUGGUUUUCCAGGCAAAUCCGGAAAAUCAAGGCUGAGGCGUGAUGACGAGGCACUACGGUGCUGAAGCAACAAAUGCCCUGCUUCCAGGAAAAGCCUCUAAGCAUCAGGUAACAUCAAAUCGUACCCCAAACCGACACAGGUGGUCAGGUAGAGAAUACCAAGGCGCUUGAGAGAACUCGGGUGAAGGAACUAGGCAAAAUGGUGCCGUAACUUCGGGAGAAGGCACGCUGAUAUGUAGGUGAAGUCCCUCGCGGAUGGAGCUGAAAUCAGUCGAAGAUACCAGCUGGCUGCAACUGUUUAUUAAAAACACAGCACUGUGCAAACACGAAAGUGGACGUAUACGGUGUGACGCCUGCCCGGUGCCGGAAGGUUAAUUGAUGGGGUCAGCGCAAGCGAAGCUCUUGAUCGAAGCCCCGGUAAACGGCGGCCGUAACUAUAACGGUCCUAAGGUAGCGAAAUUCCUUGUCGGGUAAGUUCCGACCUGCACGAAUGGCGUAAUGAUGGCCAGGCUGUCUCCACCCGAGACUCAGUGAAAUUGAACUCGCUGUGAAGAUGCAGUGUACCCGCGGCAAGACGGAAAGACCCCGUGAACCUUUACUAUAGCUUGACACUGAACAUUGAGCCUUGAUGUGUAGGAUAGGUGGGAGGCUUUGAAGUGUGGACGCCAGUCUGCAUGGAGCCGACCUUGAAAUACCACCCUUUAAUGUUUGAUGUUCUAACGUUGACCCGUAAUCCGGGUUGCGGACAGUGUCUGGUGGGUAGUUUGACUGGGGCGGUCUCCUCCUAAAGAGUAACGGAGGAGCACGAAGGUUGGCUAAUCCUGGUCGGACAUCAGGAGGUUAGUGCAAUGGCAUAAGCCAGCUUGACUGCGAGCGUGACGGCGCGAGCAGGUGCGAAAGCAGGUCAUAGUGAUCCGGUGGUUCUGAAUGGAAGGGCCAUCGCUCAACGGAUAAAAGGUACUCCGGGGAUAACAGGCUGAUACCGCCCAAGAGUUCAUAUCGACGGCGGUGUUUGGCACCUCGAUGUCGGCUCAUCACAUCCUGGGGCUGAAGUAGGUCCCAAGGGUAUGGCUGUUCGCCAUUUAAAGUGGUACGCGAGCUGGGUUUAGAACGUCGUGAGACAGUUCGGUCCCUAUCUGCCGUGGGCGCUGGAGAACUGAGGGGGGCUGCUCCUAGUACGAGAGGACCGGAGUGGACGCAUCACUGGUGUUCGGGUUGUCAUGCCAAUGGCACUGCCCGGUAGCUAAAUGCGGAAGAGAUAAGUGCUGAAAGCAUCUAAGCACGAAACUUGCCCCGAGAUGAGUUCUCCCUGACUCCUUGAGAGUCCUGAAGGAACGUUGAAGACGACGACGUUGAUAGGCCGG
rnacentral:rRNA from 1 species